GCCACCUACCUUAAGUCAUUGUUGCUGCCACCUCUAUUCCUAGCUUGGCUCAGGUGGUAGCAGCGACAGUAGACACUUUCUCCUUUUUUCUCCUUCCCAUCAUGCUCUGUCUUCCCGGAGACCCUGCAUGUUGUUGCCCACUAUGUUGCAUCAGAUUUCUAGGCUACUAUGGCCCAGAACAAGCCCCGCCCUAGGGGGGUCAUUCAAUGGCCUUUCCCUGCAGCAGGAACUACACGAGGCUUCCUGGUUGAAGCAGGCCUUGCCUUACUAUCAAAGUUCCCUUGAUUCUGGUGUAUUGGUCUUUCUGCCUGGUGUGACCUGGCUUGUUUUGACUCCUGAUUAUCUGCUUGACCCUCUGGCUCCUGAUUGCUGAUUUGGCUUGACCUUUGGCUUGUUUCUGGCUCCUGUUCUAACCUUCUGACUUGACUGAUUCUUGGCCUGAUCUGCAGUGUGUUCCCGGCUUCUGUCUGGCCUUCUUACUUCUAGUGACUACUUGGUCUGGUGCUUGGUGUAUUCCUGGCUUCUGUCCUGAUCCUCCUGGCUUCUAACUGCCUACCUGGUGUGACCUCUGGUGAGUUCCUGACUCUCCCAGUCCUGGCUUUGGAUUUAUGCCACCUAGUGACUACUGCCCAGGGUCCUGCCCACUCCCUCUGACUGGCCUCAGCUUCACAACAAGGGGCCCAAGAAAGCAAAGCUGGCACAGUGCAGAUUUAACCAGCAAAUGAGGUGGAAGAGAUGGCACAACAGAAUAACAGCAGAUGUGGUCAGCAAGAAAGAAAGAAAGCACCUUUGCUAGGUCAGAGAGAAGACACCUAUGCAGAAAGAGCCAAUGGCAACCAGACAACCUCCUAAGACAUGAUGAAAAUGUUAAUGGUAUCUGGUAUGUGAAUGCAGGAGAACUGUAUUCAGCUUAAAUGAAAGGCUCCAGGAAGCCCCUCAGUAUGCAUAAUUAAAAAUGACUUAUUCUUGGAAUCCCAGCUAUUUCUAAACUGAAGAACAAAAUGCUCUGCUCCAGUAUUGGUAUGUCCUGCCAUCAAUCUAAAAUUAACAUAAAGAGUUUCAAAGGAUUACAGUUUGCCCAGUUAUUAAGGAUGUUCAAGGAUCCCUGGACCUGCCUCCAGGAAAAAGAAACAGGAAUUCCCCAACUUAAAUUUUAAUCUCAAACAAAGGAAACUCCCAUCACCUAAAGGGAUUAACCUAUCAGUAUCUCCAGGAAAUGAUGAAUUAUCAGAUCUCAUGUAUGCUGACUACCUAAAGAUCCAGCUUUGCAAAAUCAUUUAGAAAUAUCUUUGUCCAGUAAACUCCAGUUUAGGGUAUAAAAAUCAGACUGCAAAGCCAGGAUAGCAUAGUGGUUAGAGUGUUGUACUAGGACCGAGAAGACCAGAGUUCGAAUCCCCAUUCAACCAUGAAACUCACUGGGUGUCUCCGGGCCAGUCAUGUUCUCUCAGCCUAACCUACCUCACAGGGUUGUUGUGAGGAUAAAAAUAACCAUGUACACCACUCUGAGAUCCUCAUAGGAAGAGUGGGAUAAAAGUGUAAAAAUAAAUAAAAUAAAAUAACUGGCACUUUGAGCCCAAGCACUCCAGAAAACCAAGAAAGAAAAGAAAGGUCUUCCAGGGACUUUGGCUGCAAAGGCCUCUGCUUCCUAUUGAAACUUCACACUGAUUCCAUUACCUUUUCAAAGACUAAGGAAAGGUAUACCUGGGGUACAGAUAUAAGGAAAGUUUGGGAAGCAGCUCCUCACAAUUUUUUUGCAGGGGGGCGUGGAGAGGAAAGGCACUUUUGGAGGGGAGAAAAACAGCUGAUAUGAGUCAUUUGGAGCGAGUUCAGUAAAAUGGGAGGAACUUAAAUGCUUGGGGGGUGGUAAAGGUAAAGUGUGCCGGUGGUACCCCUGGGUAUACCUAAUCAUUAAGAUCCACACCGUGGAUCCAACUCUCUCUUCAUCUCUGCUCUCCCCUGCACUGCUGGUAAUUCAUACUACCCUUUCACUACUCCCUGUGCAUCCCUGCUAGAGCGGAAAAUAUCUUCCACGCCCUCUCCAGUCUAUAAUACAGCACUUUUCCUACACUUCUUCCUGUCCUUCCUGAAAAACACUCAUUACAACUUUGAAACUGCCAUGUUUGCCUAAUAUUGCACUGAUCUAUUCACUGUUACUAAUGAAUUGUAUGAAACAAACUUCUAGGAUGAAAAUUUUUCCACAGAAAAAAAGGUACAUUUCCACAGGAAAAUUUCAAUCCCACAUCUCUGUUCCAGUGACUCUGGCUGGUAGUGGACCCCUGGCAGUCUAUGGCAGUUGCCCAACUAUGCUGGCCACUGAUGCAGGCCUAGCAAUCCUAACAGGCUGAAUCAUUUGAAGAUGAUGUGCAAACUACCUUUCAGAACACAAACUUGGAGGCAAAAUAUGAUCAAAUAUGCAUGCGCAGAGACCUGAAAUUGGCCUGAUCUGCCUCAUUUGGGAGGAAGGCAGAUCUGGGUGAGGAGCUCUUUCGCCACCUUCUCUCUGGCCUUUUCAGAGACCACAAAAUUGUCCAGAAAAUGACAUUGCCUGAAGAGCAAUAUGAAAGAUUGAUAUAACUGUAAUUAGUCCAAUAAAAUGAGUCUGCCUGCCUAUUUCCAGUGUGCCAGCCCCAACUUCACUUGUGAUAGUUUAGGAAGUGGUCGGAGCUCUUGCCGCUGUCCACUGCUGCCACAGCCACCAGUUAAGCACACCCGGCAGCAACUGGCUUCAGAGGGCCUGGCUGCGCCCUUGCCACCUGGGGCCAAGUCCCACCCCUAGGUGCCCCCCCCAUGUCCUGAUUUCAGCCAAUGCAAUGUUGGCAACCCUAUCUAUGGGGAGGGGUCGUUUUUGUCAGUUCCAUCUGUAGCCAAAUGAUUCCCCAAAAUGAGGGCUGUAUGACCCUCAGGGACACAUUUUUGGGCUAUAGAGAAAAGAGGAGAUCCACAUAUUGCCCAUCCCCCAUAGUGCAUGCGCAGCAUCACUACACAAUGCUUCAUUAGUCCAGAUGUCAGCCAAUAUGCACACAAUGUUAAUUUAGGGCAGUUAGUUGUCUCUUUUCAGAGACCACAAAAUUGUCCAAAAAAUGACAUUGCCUGAAGAUCAAUAUGAAAGAUUGAUAUAACUGUAAUUAGUCCAAUAAAAUGAGUCACUCUUGAUACCUUGAUCAGGCAUGUUGUUCUGUCCAAUGAUCUAUUAAGAUUUUCAAUCAAAGAGCAUAAUGAAGAAGCCCUUAAUGAAUAUUUGUUCAGAUUAGUUUGGUGUGAGAAUAUUUUAACUUUCCUCUGCAAUAUGCACAAACUCAAGCCACAUCUUAUUUGGUAAAUCCUUGAUAUUUCCUUUGAAAUAUAAUUAUACAGUAUCUUGUAUGAUCUUAUACAAAAGAUUGAAAUGUAUUUUGUUGAACUACCCAACAAAAGCUGAUUAGUCCUCUUCCAGGGGACUAAUCCUAUGGGCACAUACAAGGGAGUAAAGUCCCAUUGAAUUCAGUGGAAUAAGUUACUUCCUAGUAGACAUGAAUUGGAUUGGGCUGCAAGGAUGGAAUCCUAAGUACACACUUGCAUGUAAAGAAGUUCAACUGGUUUAGAAGUAAUAAGCCUUACCCUUCAGUAAACUUUAUCACUGCCCUAAACCUUAAGAAAUCCUAUGAUAUUGGCAAAACUUGUAGUGGUUAUAAAAAGACCAGAGUAGCCACUACAAAUUUUGCCAAUAUUGUAGGAUCUAUUAAGGUUUAGGGCAGUGGUUCCGAACCCAGGGGCCUCCAGAUGUUGCUGAACUCCCAUCAUCCCCAACAUUGUAGUUUCAGUCAUACUAUUCAUUUUAUACUUUCCAUGGGCAGAAUGAUAGUAGGUUUUAAGGAUCACAAGGCCUUCCUGAGAAACUUUCACUUUUACAAAGCUUUAUUAAACCAUGACCUAUUUUCAAGAGCACUUGAGCAUUCCCAACAUUCUUCCCCACUCCUGAAAGACCAUCCUAUGAGUUGCUGUUCUACAAAUGGCUGGGAAGAGCUGGCAACAGAUAAUUAUUUGCAAAGUACUGUAGAUAAAUAUAGUCUAGGUUGAGUAAUAUUAAUAGUACUUUAUACAGAGUGGGAGCUUGAUAUGAAUUCAAGAAGCAUUGGCUUUAUCAAGUUAUCAGCACUGCAAAUUGUGUGAAUUGUAGAAAUAUGCAUUAUCCAGGACUGCAUUUCUUUUCGUAUCCACCAACAAAAAGGUGGACAGGCUCUUAUUUGAUAUCUGGGUCCUCUCCUGUAAAGGCCAGAAGGAUCUAGACAUAGUUAAUGCUACUUUUGGAUUUCUGGCCUCUAGGAAGUAACAGCCUUGACUUUCUAAAAUUUUAGCUACCUCUAGAAUAGAUUUCAUGCCUGCUAGGUGCUGUGAUAUUUUAUGCGAUGACAAUUAAUUCAUAUGGACAAAAUGGAGGAAGCUGGCACAUAAUGUGAUCACCGCUUCUACAGCAUCAGACGACAUCACACACGUUUUGCCAAAAAUGUGGUGGGGUACAGUACUCCAUGUUUCACAAGUGGCCUGCUCCAAAUUAACUUUUAAUGCUUUGAUUGAUACAAAGAUCAAUUAACUUUACAGGCUACAGAUAUCCUGUCACCAAAAAAUAUUUUCCAGUUCUCUAAAAAUAUACCAGUAUGUUUGUAAACAAUUAUCUUCUAUAAUAAAGAGCUAAAGUGUGCGCCCGUGUCACUGCGCCCAUGUCACUGCGCAUGCUCAGAGUGCCCGAGAAAGAUACGGCCGCAGAGACAUGGCGGCCAUGUUGUCUCCCAGGUCAAAAGAAGAAGAAGCGGGGAAGGAGAACAAGUGGGAACCCGGGUGGGCAGAGGCGGCAGUGGCGAGGGAGAGCAAGUGGGAACCGGGAUAACGGAGAACAAGCGGGAACCGGGGAGGGCAGAGGCGGCAGUGGAGAGGGAGAACAAGAGGGAACCAAGGAGAACUCUUGGCGGCGGCGGCGGAACUCUCCGCCCGGCCGCCCACAGUGACGGCGGCACUCUCAGCCUGGCCACCCAGCCGCCCGUGGCGCCGGCAGCACUCUCGAACCCGGCCGCCCGCCCACGGCGGCGGCACUCUUUGCGGCGGAACUCUCCGCCCGGCCAUCCACAGCGCCGGCGGCACUCUCGGACCGGCCACCCAGCCGCCCGCAGCGCCGGCGACACUCUCGGGCCUGGCCACCCGCCUAGCUACCAUGGGCCAGGGACUGAGGGAGGAAGUCAAAGACAGAGAGAGAGAAAGAGAGGAAGGAGUGAGGGAGGGAGCCAGGACAAUAGAGAGGUGGAAAAAAGGAAAGAAGAAACAAGAGAAAAGAGAGAGAAGGGAAGGAAAAGGACAAAAGAAACAAGAAGGGAGGGAGGGAAAGUAGGAAAGAGAGAAGUAAGGAAGAAGAAAGAAAAAGGAGAAAGGAGUGAGGGAGAAGAACAAAAAAAACCAGAAGGGAGGGAGGAACAGCCAGCCCCAAAGAGCUAGCCCGUUAAAGAAAGAAAAGAGGAAAAGAGAAAGAAAACAGAAAGGAGAGAGAGGGAGAGGGAGAUAGAAGAAAGGAAGGAAAGGAAAGAGAGGAAGAGGGAGAUAAAAGGAAGGAAUGAAAGAGAGAGAUGGAAAAAAAGGGGAAGGAAAGGAGGGCGAGAGAGAGGGAGAAGGAAAAAAGGAAACAACAAAAAAAAUUCUAGCGCCCGUUACUUUAACAGGCUAAAAAAUACUAGUAGUUCUAUAAAGGUGUUCCAAUUUGCUAAAAUGGCAGACAUGAGAUAAAUAAUUUUAAGGCCAAGGAAAAUGGCACAGUGCCUGUGCCAAAUAUUUCAUUUGCUUCAUGCUCUAUCUCCAAGAUUAUGGAACUAAGUUUUAAACACAUUUAUAUUUCCACAUGCAUUCCUUUCUUACUACAUAAGAAAUCAAGGCACAGAAGCUGAUUCAUACUAUAGAUUAAUGAACACAGGCUUACUAAACCCUACUUAGAUUACACUGAACUGCUUAAUAGGAUUCCUGAUAACCAAAGAUAAUCCUAUCCAUUUUAUUUCAUUGAUGCUUAUAAAGCUGCUGAGAACAAGAAAUUUGAUGGGCUGAUAAAAAUGCUGAAACUCUGUAAUUAACACUUAGCCAACAUACAUAGCAUAUGUAUUCUAUAGAUUUCUCCAGCUACAUAACUGUGCCUUAAAGAGUUAUCAUAUAUUGUACACAAAACCACUGUGUUUACAUUUUAUAAAUGUAAACACAUUUACAUUUAUAAAAUGUAAAUUUUAUACAUUUUAUAUAAAAUGUAUACAAAACAUUUUGUAUGUUUACAUUUUAUAAUAGUUUACAUUUACAUGUAAAUGUACAUUUACAUUUACAUGUAAUGUACAUUUACAUUUGGAAAUGUACAAUUUACAUUUGGUUUACAUUUUAUAUUGCAUAUCUACAAGAGCAGUCCUGAUUUUCCUUAAGUCUGCAUUCGUGUAAGCAUACAUGUGACCAAUGCAAUUAUGAAUAAAAGUUAACAAUAAUGAUGGUUUUAAAUUUUAAUAAUGAUUUUAAAUUCUUAAUGUUGGUUUUAAAUUAUGUUAAUGUCAAUGAUUUUAAUGUUUAAAUUAUUGUAAUUGUUUAAUUGAUUUAGUUUUGAUUUUAAUUGUUUGUUUUUAUUUUGAUGUAAACCACUCUCAGCCAUUUUUGGAAGGGCAGUAUAUAAAUCAAUCAAUCAAUCAAUCAAUCAAUCAAUUAAAUAAAUAAAUAAAUAAAUAAAUAAAUGGGAUGUUCCCGCCCAGUUGCUGCAAUCACAAAAUUUGUGCAAACUAUAUCCCUGUAUAGGCGAUAUAGGAGAUUAUCAAAACCACAUUUUUUGUUUGCCAACAUGAUCAUCAACCCAGGGAGAGUAGAACUUUGAGUGGGCAAUAAAUGUGUGUGAACUGUCCCAUAGUCUUAAGCAAAAGUAGGUUCCACUGAAACAAUUGUUACUUCUAUAUAUCAACUGCAAAGCAUCAUGGUAAUAUGCAUACACAUGUAACUGUUUUCUCUUUAGCAACCCCACACAUCUACCUUUUUUAAGUCAUAAGGUUUAUAAACCUGCUAGAGAGAGAAUGGACAGACAAUCCAUUGUGUAAGCACUUGCAGCUUUGGCUAUGUAAGUCUGUGGCAAAUGUGGUUAGGAUCAGUUGGAAUGUUGUCAGGAUCAGCUGCAAUGUUGUCAUGGCCUUGCCCAACCAAAUAAAAAGGAAGAGUUUUCUACUUUUACCAAUAAAAAACCCUGUUGUAAGGAAAACUCCU